rnacentral:rRNA from 1 species
GACGAACGCUGGCGGCGUGCUUAACACAUGCGAGUCGAACGGAAAGGCCCUGCUUUUGUGGGGUGCUCGAGUGGCGAACGGGUGCGUAACACGUGAGUAACCUGCCCUUGACUUUGGGAUAACUUCAGGAAACUGGGGCUAAUACCGGAUAGGAGCUCCUGCUGCAUGGUGGGGGUUGGAAAGUUUCGGCGGUUGGGGAUGGACUCGCGGCUUAUCAGCUUGUUGGUGGGGUAGUGGCUUACCAAGGCUUUGACGGGUAGCCGGCCUGAGAGGGUGACCGGCCACAUGGGGACUGAGAGACGGCCCAGACUCCUACGGGAGGCAGCAGUGGGGAAUAUUGCACAAUGGGCGGAAGCCUGAUGCAGCAACGCCGCGUGCGGGAUGACGGCCUUCGGGUUGUAAACCGCUUUCGCCUGUGACGAAGCGGGAGUGACGGUAAUGGGUAAAGAAGCACCGGCUAACUACGUG